rnacentral:tRNA from 1 species
AGGGGAAUAGCUCAGUGGUAGAGCGUGGCAUGCACAAGGUCCUGGGUUCAAUCCCCAGCCCUU